UACGUAGGGGGCUAGCGUUGUCCGGAAUCAUUGGGCGUAAAGCGCGUGUAGGCGGCUCGGUAAGUCCGCUGUGAAAGUCGGGGGCUCAACCCUCGGAUGCCGGUGGAUACUGUCGGACUAGAGUGCGGAAGAGGCGAGUGGAAUUCCUGGUGUAGCGGUGAAAUGCGCAGAUAUCAGGAGGAACACCGAGUGCGAAGGCAGCUCGCUGGGACGUUACUGACGCUGAGACGCGAAAGCGUGGGGAGCAAACAGG
rnacentral:rRNA from 1 species